GGGAGGAGGCUUUGGCGUUUCUGCACAAUGCUGCUCAAUCCUGCUUGGGAGCCCAGCCUCAGGUGCGGAAUGAAGCCAAGCAAGCUCGAGGGAAACUGUGUGCUGGUAACUGGUCAGUUCUUGCUUUCUUUUUCAUUCCUCACGCCUAAGAAAACCUAACUCUUUCAAGCACUUGUUGGAUGGACUUGAUUCUGGGUGUGCUCCUUAAGCUUGUUUGGCAGCUGUUGAACCCCGCUACACUUGCAGGAGACCUAUGCUCGAGUUGAUGCUUGCUGUGAUCAAGCGCUGUUCUUUUGCUCUUCUUUGCUUUGGGGAUGGCGGGUGAGGUUGCAAAGAGUUUUCAGGAGGAUUCCUCUUUUCCUUUGCAGAAUGCCAGACUGCGUAUUAGAGCUGAUCUUCAUCUCUGCUCGGAAAAGCUUCACGGGCCAAAAGAGAAUGGAGAUGAGGAAGGCAAUGGAGAAUGAUGAGGACUAUUUGCAGUCAGCACCCCAACUUCUGCCUUGGCUCUUCCCAUCAAGCCAGAGCAGUUUCUUGGCCUGCGCAACCUGCAGACUGACCUCUCGUGUGUAUCCGUGCUGGACUGAGGGUAAUGUUUGGAACACACACUGAUGCUGUAUUCACUAGAACUUUGAGAAGAGAGAGCAAGAAGCUAACCUGCAGACGAGUUUCUUAGGUUUCUGUAGAGAGAGGGAGAUAUACAUGCAUACAUAUUUACUUCUGUCUUUACUUCUUUCAAGAUAGCUUUUGUUCUCCAAAAUGAAUCCUCUGACUGUUACUAAUGUAUGGGACACACCUUGACACUCUAAUGGCAUAGAAAUACUUUUCAGCUCAUCCUUGCUAUUGUUUCUGGAUUGAAAAAAUAAUUGUGAAUAUGAUUACCUGCUUGAAAUCCUUUUUUUUUUUUAAUAUAUACCUAUUCUAUUAUGAAAUCCUAUAAAAAGGAAUGAACUCAAGAGAAAAAAAAAAAAA